UAAGUGGAUAGUGAAACCUGGUGGCUCAACCAUUCAGACUAUUAUCCAAACUGCUCCGCUCGAGAGCGUUAGGGUAGCUGGAAUUUCUAGUGUAGGAGUGAAAUCCGUAGAUAUUAGAAAGAACACCGAUAGCGUAGGCAGGCUACUGGGACGUUUCUGACACUAAGGCACGAAAGCGUGGGGAGCAAACGGGAUUAGAUACCCCGGUAGUCCACGCCGUAAACGAUGGAUACUA
rnacentral:rRNA from 1 species